GUGCCUUCGUGCAGAGCUCAGUGCUCUAACAGGACUGGCUGUCUGGCCACGCACACACAGGCACAGAAACUGCACAUCAAAUCCUAGUUCAAAGUGUAGCUUUUGCUGGGAGCAUGCACGCUUUUUUUGGCACUUCAUUGUACAUGACAUCAUUGUGUGGGAAGCCAUAUGCUAGAGAUAAACAACAUACUCCAAAGAUGACAAGUAAAGAAACUGCAGUAGCUCGCUUCUGGAGAGAAAUGAAACUUGCCCAAAGCCUUUUCUUCCACAUCCUUAAUGCAAUCCAACAGCCCUCAUCAGUGCUCUCAGAGCACUCUGCUGGAAACACAUUAUCCCGAGCUACUGCUGUCCAAGCUUCCAGACCUGGGAACAACUUCAUGACCAACACAAAUGAGUUCAGCUCUGCCAGCUUCAGCCAGAGUCGUGUGGCACCCCAAACCUAGCAUAAAGGAGC